rnacentral:rRNA from 1 species
ACUCAAAUGAAUUGACGGGGACCCGCACAAACGGUGGAGCAUGUGGUUUAAUACGACGAUACGCGUGGAACCUCACCCAGACUUGACAUGUACCAGAAAUCCUUAUGAAAGUAGGGACCUCCCUUCCGGGACUGGUACACAGGUGUUGCAUGGCUGUCGUCAGCUCGUGUCGUGAGAUGUUGGGUUAAGUCCCGCAACGAGCGCAACCCUUAUCUUUAGUUGCUAAUCCGCAAGGAUGCACUCUAGAGAGACUGCCGCUGAUAAAGCGGAGGAAGGUGGGGAUGACGUCAAGUCAGUACGGCCCUUACGUCUGGGGCUACACACGUGCUACAAUGGCAGGUACAAAGGGCUGCGAUACCGCAAGGUGGAGCCAAUCCUAAAAACCUGUCUCAGUUCGGACUGUGGGCUGCAACUCGCCCACAUGAAGCCGGAAUCGUUAGUAACCCUAUAUCAGCCACGAUAGGGUGAAUACGUUCCCGGGUCUUGUACACACCGCCCGU